GAACGUCGUGAGACAGUUCGGUCCCUAUCUGUUGCAGGCGCAGGAGACUUGAGAGGAUCUGUCCUCAGUACGAGAGGACCGGGAUGGAAAGACCCCUGGUGUUCCGGUUGUCAUGCCAGUGGCAAUACCGGGUAGCUAUGUCUGGAAGGGAUAAACGCUGAAAGCAUCUAAGCGUGAAACCCACCUCAAGAUGAGGUCUCCCGUGGAGCAAUCCACCUAAAGGUCUGUGGUAGACUACCACGU
rnacentral:rRNA from 1 species